UACGUAGGGGUGCGAGCGUUUGUCCGGAAUUAUUGGGCGUAAAGAGCUCGUAGGCGGUUUGUCGCGUCUGCUGUGAAAACCUAAGGCUCAACCUUGGGCUUGCAGUGGGUACGGGCAGACUAGAGUGCGGUAGGGGUGACUGGAAUUCCUGGUGUAGCGGUGGAAUGCGCAGAUAUCAGGAGGAACACCGGUGGCGAAGGCGGGUCUCGUGGGCAGUAACUGACGCUGGAG
rnacentral:rRNA from 1 species